rnacentral:rRNA from 1 species
GACGAACGCUGGCGGCGUGCCUAACACAUGCAAGUCGAGCGGAGUUGACAAGAGGAAGUUUUCGGAUGGAAUCUUGCCAGCUUAGCGGCGGACGGGUGAGUAACGCGUGAGCGACCAACCUUGCACAGGGGGAUAACGGACCGAAAGGUUCACUAAUACCGCAUGAGACCACGGUGUUGCAUGACACAGGGGUCAAAGGAGGAAUCCGGUGCAAGACGGGCUCGCGUCCGAUUGGGUAGUUGGAGGGGUAACGGCCCACCAAGACUAUGAUCGGUAGCCGACCUGCGAGGGUGUUCGGCCACAUUGGAACUGAGAUACGGUCCAAACUCCUACGGGAGGCAGCAGUGGGGAAUAUUGGGCAAUGGGGGAAACCCUGACCCAGCAACGCCGCGUGAAGGAAGAAGGUUUUCGGAUUGUAAACUUCUGUCCUUGGUGAAGAGAAGAAGACGGUAGCCAAGGAGGAAGCCCCGGCUAACUACGUGCCAGCAGCCGCCGUAA